GGCGUCGUGGCUCAGUCGGUAAGCGGUUGGGCUAUGAAGCAAAAGGUCCCGGGUUCGGAUCCCCGGAAGCUU